UACGGGGGGGGCAAGCGUUGUUCGGAAUUACUGGGCGUAAAGGGCUCGUAGGCGGCCAACUAAGUCGGAUGUGAAAUCCCCAGGCUUAACCUGGGAACUGCGUGUGAUACUGGAUGGCUUGAAUCCGGGAGAGGGAUGCAGAAUUCCAGGUGUAGCGGUGAAAUGCGUAGAUAUCUGGAGGAAUACCGGUGGCGAAGGCGGCAUCCUGGACCGGCAUUGACGCUGAUGAGCGAAAGCUAGGGGAGCAAACGGG
rnacentral:rRNA from 1 species